AUUGAACGCUGGCGGCAGGCCUAACACAUGCAAGUCGAACGGUAGCACAGGAGAGCUUGCUCCCUGGGUGACGGGUGGCGGACGGGUGAGUAAUGCAUGGGGAGCUGCCCAAUCGAGGGGGAUACCAGCUGGAAACGGCUGCUAAUACCGCAUACGCCCUGAGGGGGAAAGGUGGGGACCUUCGGGCCUACCGCGAUUGGAUGCACCCAUGUGGGAUUAGCUAGUUGGUGAGGUAACGGCUCACCAAGGCGACGAUCUCUAGCUGGUCUGAGAGGAGGACCAGCCACACUGGAACUGAGACACGGUCCAGACGCCUACGGGAGGCAGCAGUGGGGAAUAUUGCACAAUGGGGGAAACCCUGAUGCAGCCAUGCCGCGUGUGUGAAGAAGGCCUUCGGGUUGUAAAGCACUUUCAGUGGGGAGGAAGGGUUGAUGUCUAAUACGCAUCAGCAUUGACGUUACCCACAGAAGAAGCACCGGCUAACUCCGUGCCAGCAGCCGCGGUAA
rnacentral:rRNA from 1 species